CUUCCACAAUGGGCGAAAGCCUGAUGGAGCAACGCCGCGGGGGUGAAGAAGGUCUUCGGAUCNUAAAACCCUGUAGUUAGAGAAGNNAGNNNGNGAGAGUAACUGUUCACGUUUCGACGGUAUCUAACCANNNANCNAUGGCGAACUACGUGCCAGCAGCCGCGGUAAUACGUAGGUGGCAAGCGUUAUCCGGAUUUAUUGGGCGUAAAGGGAACGCAGGCGGUCUUUUAAGUCUGAUGUGAAAGCCUUCGGCUUAACCGGAGUAGUGCAUUGGAAACUGGGGGACUUGAGUGCAGAAGAGGAGAGUGGAACUCCAUGUGUAGCGGUGAAAUGCGUAGAUAUAUGGAAGAACACCAGUGGCGAAAGCGGCUCUCUGGUCUGUAACUGACGCUGAGGUUCGAAAGCGUGGGUAGCAAACAGG
rnacentral:rRNA from 1 species